rnacentral:lncRNA from 1 species
UUUUACACAAUGCCCCAUGAUCAUGGAAAUGCUAUGCACUAAUGAUGCGAUAUGCUAUGCUUAUCUAAAUGAUGAAUGCAUAAACACACGUCUCCUCCAGAGACAACACCGGGGAACUCCAGGAACUGUGCUGGGGAUCCUAUAACCAUGUCAACUUCCAUCCUGCUGGGGAAAGACAAACCUUUGCUGGGGAAAAACCAUCAACACAACCUAUGCUGGGAAGACAGCUUCAGACUUGGAAAACAA